UCGCGGCUUAUCACCGGCAGUCCCCCUAGAGUGCCCAACUGAAUGAUGGCAACUAGGGGCGAGGGUUGCGCUCGUUGCGGGACUUAACCCAACAUCUCACGACACGAGCUGACGACAGCCAUGCACCACCUGUGAUCCUGCCCGUGAGGGAAGCCCUGUUUCCAGGGCGGUCAGGAACAUGUCAAGCCCAGGUAAGGUGGGGAUGACGUUGGUCAGUCAA
rnacentral:misc_RNA from 1 species